GACGAACGCUUGCGGCGUGCCUAAGAAAUGCAAGUCGAGCGAGGUUUAGGCUUCGGCCGACGACCUAGCGGCGAACGGUCGCGUAACACGUAAGCAACCUGCCCUAAAGUUGGGGAUAGCCCGCCGAAAGGCGGAUUAAUACCGAAUGUGGAUAUGUAUUCGCAUGUAUAUAUAUCUGAAGCAGCGAUGCGCUUUAGGAUGGGCUUGCGGCCUAUCAGUUAGUUGGUGUGGGUAACGGCCUACCAAGACGACGACGGGUAGCUGGUCUGAGAGGAUGGUCAGCCGGAUUGGGACUGAGACACGGCCCAGACUCCUACGGGGGCAGCAAUUAGGAAUCUUGCGCAAUGGGCGAAAGCCUGACGCAGCGACGCCGCGUGACUGAUGAAGUCUUUCGAGAUGUAAAGGUCUUUUGUUGGGGACGAAGGAAGUGACGGUACCCGACGAAUAAGCCCCGGCUAACUACGUG
rnacentral:rRNA from 1 species